GUGUUUGCUUCGACAGCAUGUACACUAAAAUUGGAACAACCCAGAGAAGAUAAACACGGCCCCGGCACGAGGAUGACAUGCAAACUCAUGAAAUGUUCCAUGCUGUU